rnacentral:tRNA from 1 species
GGCGCAUUCGUCUAGGGGCCUAGGACGCCGCCCUCUCACGGCGGUAACAUGGGUUCGAAUCCCAUAUGCGCUACCA